AGGCCUGUAUUAUGGAUCUUACACCUUCCUAGAAAUAUGAAACAUUGGAAUCAUCCUACUAUUUAAGGCCUUCCUGCUUAGAAAUUCCCUGGAUCCUCUGCCUAGGAACCUCUUCACCCAGGAAAUGUACUGGUACCCCCUUAAGACUCCAAGUCUUUAAGAUCACAGCUCAAAUAAAAGGCGUGGAGCGUCACUUAAUACAAGGAGAUCUGAUUAUGAGAAGAACUCACCGAAUCACCUGAAGGAUGCCCUGAAGCCAGAGGGGCUCAAAGGCCCACGCUUGGUCCCGAGCGCCGGUCCACAGUAGACUCCAGGGGACCUCAGGGUUUGAAAACUGACUUGUGACCCACAGCAAGCAUCAUACUCAAUGGUGAAAAACUGAAAGCAUUUCCACUAAGAUCAGGAACAAGACAAGGGUGUCCACUCUCGCCACUCUUAUUCGACAUAGUUAUGGAAGUCCUAGUCAUGGCAAUCAGAGAAAAAAAGAAAAGGAAUACAAAUUGGAAAAGAAGAAGUAAAACUGUCACUCCUUGCAGAUGACAUGAUACUAUACAUAGAAAAUC